AAAAAAGUGCGGGUUCUUUGAUGAUAAGGCUUGUGGGUCUGUUCUACUUGGUGGUGAGUUUGUUGAGCUUCACUGGAGUGAAUGCUAUGCAUGGAAGGGAAAGUAGUGGACAUGAAGCAGUGAAAGGAAUGAUACAUGGGAAAUCUCACAUUGGAAGGAUUGAUGAUGAUUUUGUCUGUGCAACUCUUGAUUGGUGGCGUCCUCAGAAAUGUGACUAUGGAACAUUUAGCUGAGGUCAUGCUUUUCUUCUCAACCUGGUAUUCUUUCUUUGCUUCUGCAGAUCAAUAUGCUUCGGAUAUUGCUGCUUUAAGAAACAUAAUCAUGAUGUAUAUAGAGGGAUUAGGCAUAAGCCACUGGUCAUUGCUCCAGGUAGCUUCUAUAAACAAAUUGGUUCCAGGAAUUUGUAAACAAAUCUGGUAAACCUGUUGAUGUGGUAUCUCAUCACACAUAUAUAACCUCGGACCAGGAGUUGAUGAGCACCUAAUUGAAAAAAUUCUUGAACCAUCAUAUCUUGACGAGUGGCUAGCACAUUCAGUGGCCUCAAAAACAUACUUCAAAAAUCAGCAACCAGAGCAAAAGCAUGGGUUGGUGAGGCAGGAGAGGCUUACAACAGUCGCCACCAUCUUGUGUCUGAUGCAUUUGUCUACAGCUUCUGGUAUUUGGAUCAGCUUGGAAUGUCGGCUGUUUAUGACACCAGAACAUACUGCAGACAGAGUUUGGUUGGAGGAAACUAUGGUUUACUAAACACUACUACUUUUGUGUCAAAUCCAGAUUAUUAUAGAUACCAAAUAUUAAAUUUCAUAGUUGAAGGAGGACCAGCAUAUUAUUGUGGACUAUUUUCAUUUUAGCUUUCAAGUGUCAUUCUCUUCAGAAAAAUAUUGUGUGCUAAUUAUACAACCUUGCACAUACCUUUCUACCAUUGGUUGAGGGUGUAGACUUAUCAUAUGCAGAUCACACAUUCUAUCCAAUGGUGAAAAGAUGCAUUGUUUAGAUAUAUAAAAUAAAAAUGAGUACAAA